UUAAGCGACUAAGCGUACACGGUGGAUGCCCUGGCAGUCAGAGGCGAUGAAGGACGUGCUAAUCUGCGAAAAGCGCCGGCGAGGUGAUAUGAACCUUUGACCCGGCGAUGUCCGAAUGGGGAAACCCAGUGUGUUUCGACACACUAUCGUUAACUGAAUACAUAGGUUAACGAGGCGAACCGGGGGAACUGAAACAUCUAAGUACCCCGAGGAAAAGAAAUCAACCGAGAUUCCCCCAGUAGCGGCGAGCGAACGGGGAGCAGCCCAGAGUCUGAAUCAGCUUGUGUGUUAGUGGAACGGUCUGGAAAGUCCGGCGAUACAGGGUGACAGCCCCGUACACGAAAAUGCACAGGUUGUGAACUCGAAGAGUAGGGCGGGACACGUGGUAUCCUGUCUGAAUAUGGGGGGACCAUCCUCCAAGGCUAAAUACUCCUGACUGACCGAUAGUGAACCAGUACCGUGAGGGAAAGGCGAAAAGAACCCCGGCGAGGGGAGUGAAAAAGAACCUGAAACCGUGUACGUACAAGCAGUGGGAGCACCUUCGUGGUGUGACUGCGUACCUUUUGUAUAAUGGGUCAGCGACUUAUAUUCUGUAGCAAGGUUAACCGUAUAGGGGAGCCGAAGGGAAACCGAGUCUUAACUGGGCGUUAAGUUGCAGGGUAUAGACCCGAAACCCGGUGAUCUAGCCAUGGGCAGGUUGAAGGUUGGGUAACACUAACUGGAGGACCGAACCGACUAAUGUUGAAAAAUUAGCGGAUGACUUGUGGCUGGGGGUGAAAGGCCAAUCAAACCGGGAGAUAGCUGGUUCUCCCCGAAAGCUAUUUAGGUAGCGCCUCGUGAACUCAUCUUCGGGGGUAGAGCACUGUUUCGGCUAGGGGGCCAUCCCGGCUUACCAACCCGAUGCAAACUACGAAUACCGAAGAAUGUUAUCACGGGAGACACACGGCGGGUGCUAACGUCCGUCGUGAAGAGGGAAACAACCCAGACCGCCAGCUAAGGUCCCAAAGUCAUGGUUAAGUGGGAAACGAUGUGGGAAGGCACAGACAGCCAGGAUGUUGGCUUAGAAGCAGCCAUCAUUUAAAGAAAGCGUAAUAGCUCACUGGUCGAGUCGGCCUGCGCGGAAGAUGUAACGGGGCUAAACCAUGCACCGAAGCUGCGGCAGCGACGCUUAUGCGUUGUUGGGUAGGGGAGCGUUCUGUAAGCCGUUGAAGGUGGCCUGUGAGGGUUGCUGGAGGUAUCAGAAGUGCGAAUGCUGACAUAAGUAACGAUAAAGCGGGUGAAAAGCCCGCUCGCCGGAAGACCAAGGGUUCCUGUCCAACGUUAAUCGGGGCAGGGUGAGUCGACCCCUAAGGCGAGGCCGAAAGGCGUAGUCGAUGGGAAACAGGUUAAUAUUCCUGUACUUGGUGUUACUGCGAAGGGGGGACGGAGAAGGCUAUGUUAGCCGGGCGACGGUUGUCCCGGUUUAAGCAUGUAGGCGGAGGUUCCAGGUAAAUCCGGUACCUUAUUAACGCUGAGGUGUGAUGACGAGGCACUACGGUGCUGAAGUAACAAAUGCCCUGCUUCCAGGAAAAGCCUCUAAGCAUCAGGUAACAUCAAAUCGUACCCCAAACCGACACAGGUGGUCAGGUAGAGAAUACCAAGGCGCUUGAGAGAACUCGGGUGAAGGAACUAGGCAAAAUGGUGCCGUAACUUCGGGAGAAGGCACGCUGAUAUGUAGGUGAAGCCCCUGCGGGUGGAGCUGAAAUCAGUCGAAGAUACCAGCUGGCUGCAACUGUUUAUUAAAAACACAGCACUGUGCAAACACGAAAGUGGACGUAUACGGUGUGACGCCUGCCCGGUGCCGGAAGGUUAAUUGAUGGGGUUAGCGGUAACGCGAAGCUCUUGAUCGAAGCCCCGGUAAACGGCGGCCGUAACUAUAACGGUCCUAAGGUAGCGAAAUUCCUUGUCGGGUAAGUUCCGACCUGCACGAAUGGCGUAAUGAUGGCCAGGCUGUCUCCACCCGAGACUCAGUGAAAUUGAACUCGCUGUGAAGAUGCAGUGUACCCGCGGCAAGACGGAAAGACCCCGUGAACCUUUACUAUAGCUUGACACUGAACACUGGUCCUUGAUGUGUAGGAUAGGUGGGAGGCUUUGAAGCGUGGACGCCAGUCUGCGUGGAGCCGACCUUGAAAUACCACCCUUUAAUGGCUGGUGUUCUAACGUAGACCCGUAAUCCGGGUUGCGGACAGUGUCUGGUGGGUAGUUUGACUGGGGCGGUCUCCUCCCAAAGAGUAACGGAGGAGCACGAAGGUUAGCUAAUCCUGGUCGGACAUCAGGAGGUUAGUGCAAUGGCAUAAGCUAGCUUGACUGCGAGAGUGACGGCUCGAGCAGGUGCGAAAGCAGGUCAUAGUGAUCCGGUGGUUCUGAAUGGAAGGGCCAUCGCUCAACGGAUAAAAGGUACUCCGGGGAUAACAGGCUGAUACCGCCCAAGAGUUCAUAUCGACGGCGGUGUUUGGCACCUCGAUGUCGGCUCAUCACAUCCUGGGGCUGAAGUAGGUCCCAAGGGUAUGGCUGUUCGCCAUUUAAAGUGGUACGCGAGCUGGGUUUAGAACGUCGUGAGACAGUUCGGUCCCUAUCUGCCGUGGGCGCUGGAGAAUUGAGGGGGGCUGCUCCUAGUACGAGAGGACCGGAGUGGACGCAUCACUGGUGUUCGGGUUGUCAUGCCAAUGGCAUUGCCCGGUAGCUAAAUGCGGAAGAGAUAAGUGCUGAAAGCAUCUAAGCACGAAACUUGCCCCGAGAUGAGUUCUCCCUGACUCCUUGAGAGUCCUGAAGGAACGUUGAAGACGACGACGUUGAUAGGUCGGGUGUGUAAGCGUAGCGAUACGUUGAGCUAACCGAUACUAAUGAACCGUGAGGCUUAACCU
rnacentral:rRNA from 1 species